ensembl:lncRNA
GUUUUGAAAUCUUGGAUAAGCCCUGAGACUGUCACUGACUGUGCUGAGAGAGCAUAGAAGAUGGAAAUGAAGUGAAUGAACAAAUGUCAGUUGUAAUAGGUUCAGACUGAUCGGACACUGAUCACAUUUGGGGGACUUGCUGAUUAACAGAAUGCUGCUUUGUUAAAUUGUCAUAGAAGUUAUGUCUGACUCAAGAACCAAGACCACACUGGUAGGCCCUCAGGAGAGACCAUAUAUGGCAACAGGUGAGUCAGUGAACAGAGUUAUCAAAGUGCUUUGAAACUGUCUGAGUACUAGUCUCCUUCUCUGUCCAUAUUGGACUUUCCUUGAGCAUCUCAGUCCUGGUACUCUCUUCAUGUAUUAUGUGGCUGUUCAUGAAGUCUUAAGAGAGCUUAAGAGAGCUAUUGAAUGAACAAGUGAUUCUAAAGCAAGGGAAUCAAAUAAUCAUAAGGCGCCA